ACUCGGAAAGCGACACAGAGGACGAACAUACCGAAGAAGAACAUGAACCGACAAAAUCCGCUCAAAAUCCGAACAAACCCGGGGACAAUGGGAACGAAAACAGGGAAAACCCGGACGACCAACCCGUCCGACCCACGCCACGACCCGAUGGAACCGUAACCCAAGCCGGAAGACAAACUUACCCACCUCCUUGGCGACUACAAAAUUUAAAUUAAUUUAUAAAAGUAUUUAUUGCAUUUAAGGGCCUUAAUUUAUGAAAUGUACGUACAAUUAAAUUGAUCCGUCAAGGCAGGAGCCUUGAAAUUGCAGGAUGGCCGAGUGUUAUGAAAUGUCAAAAUCUAUUCAUGUAAUUGUUAAGUUGACCGCUAGAAUGCGCGGGCAUGUACUUUGUAAGAAUAUUGUUCCCUACCUUGACCUGAUUGCCCCGCCCUUGACCAACCCUGCCCUCUUGAACGAUAAAAGGCCCCCCCUGCAGUUUUGGCGUUGCUGUUGGAGAACCGUUUGAGCUAGAGAAGAAAACAGCGCGAAAAACAGUCAUAAGCGACUACUUUCCCCAUUGUUGACAACGUUAUGGAGGGAAUGUUAUGACUGAUCCGGGUAGUCAGCGCCCCUAGCGAGUGCCCCAAAAUUUGUCCGCGGAAAUAGCAGACGAACAGCCCAAAACAGGCCUAGCAGACGACAGUUCUGGGACCUCUAAUGUUAGACCAUGGCGAGACGGUCUCGAAGGGUUGAGACCGUCACCGCUACAUCCCAGUGGGACUAUCCCGGCCCUCUGAUUGGCUCUCUCAACCCUUACACCCUUCCAUGUAUUUCUGCUUUCUACUCCCACAUUUUCCUGAUACACACAGCGUGGUUUUCCGUGGGAGUGGAGUUCGGGCUUUGAUUUGUUUGUUUCUUUGUGUAUUUAUAUUAUUUACAUUUAUUGUUUGCUGUUUGUUAAGUUUUACAAAUACAACAUUUUUACUUAUA